GCCACGGGACAGCGACUGCGGGGUGCCUGCUGGCUGAGGGUGGGAGAGCAGAUCCCUGCUGAUGUCUGUAGAAUUCUGUCCGCGCCCUCGGAGUCGGGGUCACGAGGGUCAGGAAGGUUUCGGAGACCCUGGGAGGAGGUCUUGCUAACGGCUGGUCGCGGUGCUCCGGCCGGGUCACGUCUGAAGCCACAUGGCCGCCCUCCAGUUGUGGCUUGUGCAGCCAGCCGGCCCAGAUCUGCCUCGGCAGGGUUUCAACACGAGCAUGAAGACAGAGUCCAUAUGUCUCAGCAGAGCCCAGCCCAGCAUCUGCUGCAGACUAAGUAUCAGGGCGUCCACCCCCGCCCCGGGGGCAGCGCUGGUUUGCGUGUUCUCUAAACGGACAGUUAGGAUUAAAGUGGGGGCCAGGGUUUUGUGCAAUCCUUGAAGAUAAGGAGUCCGGCUGGGGUUUGGAGCAGAAUUCUUUGUGCUGCCAGAGCAUUCCUGAGCGUCCAGAGUCAAAGAAAAGCCCAGCUUCCUGUGUGUGUGGCUUGCCGUGACUGGCCGGGGAGCUGGCGGGGCGCUGGGGGCCCCGAUCGGGUGGCGUUUCAUUCACGCGUUCAUUCAUCCCCUAAGCUGAGAGUUGCCGAGUUCCUGCUCUGGGCUGGUACCUUGCCCAGUGCUGAGAACACAACGGCUUGUGGCCAUAGCAUCAGAAGAACUUUCCAGGCCAUUGAGUGUGGAUGGAGUAGGUGAAGCCUCUGAAGUUCAUUUGGACGAAUGCGAAACAUCUGACGCAGUGUCAGGACCACCAUAAAUUCAGUAGAAAUGAGUCCUUCACCCCUGAAAUUUUGUUUGCUUUGAAGGUGAUAACGAGAAGAUGAAUUUGAAGGGAGGACCAUGCUGAUAAAAAUACAUUAUUUUGACUAACAUAAGAAACCCAUUCUUAUUGGGAACUGGUUACGGUGCAUACAGAAUUCUCUCUUUUUUUUUUUUUUUUGUCUUUUUAGAGCUGCACCUGCAGCA